GACGAACGCUGGCGGCGUGCUUAACACAUGCAAGUCGAACGGUGAAGGGACCGGUUUUUGCUGGUUCUGGAUGAGUGGCGAACGGGUGAGUAACACGUGAGUAACCUGCCCCCUUCUUCUGGAUAACCGCAUGAAAGUGUGGCUAAUACGGGAUAUUCUGCGCCUGCUGCAUGGUGGGUGUGGGAAAGAUAUUGUUUCGGUGGGGGAUGGGCUCGCGGCCUAUCAGCUUGUUGGUGGGGUGAUGGCCUACCAAGGCGGUGACGGGUAGCCGGCCUGAGAGGGUGGACGGUCACACUGGGACUGAGACACGGCCCAGACUCCUACGGGAGGCAGCAGUGGGGAAUAUUGCACAAUGGGCGCAAGCCUGAUGCAACGACGCCGCGUGAGGGAUGGAGGCCUUCGGGUUGUAAACCUCUUUCGCCAGUGAAGCAGGCCUGUCCCUUUUGUGGGUGGGUUGACGGUAGCUGGAUAAGAAGCGCCGGCUAACUACGUG
rnacentral:rRNA from 1 species